CACUGGAGGUAAACACACACACACUGGAGGUAAACACACACACACUGGAGGUAAACACACACACACUGGAGGUAAACACACACACACUGGAGGUAAACACACACACACUGGAGGUAAACACACACACACUGGAGGUAAACACACACACACUGGAGGUAAACACACACACACUAUACACACUGGA